rnacentral:RNase_P_RNA from 1 species
CAAACGGGAUAUAACCGCGUAAGUUUAUCCUGAUGAAAAGAUAAAUUUAUGAGAGAAAGUCCGGGCUCCUUCGGAAAAAAUGCCGGAUAAGAACCGGGCGUGUGCCGGCAGCUGCAUAAUUUCUUGCAUAGCCCGGCAUUACGACAGAUAGUGCAGCAGAAAGUAAACCGCCUGGAAACAGGUAAGGGUGAAAGGGUGGUGUAAGAGACCACCGGUUAUCUGGUAACAGAUAAUGCGGGUAAACCUCAUUUGGAGCAAGGCCGAGCAGCAGUUUGUUAUUCCGAGCUUAUACUGCGGGUAGGCCGCUUGAGCCUUAUGGUAACAUAAGGUUCAGAUAGAUGGUUAUUGGAGAAAUCCAGACAGAACCCGGCUUAUUGUCCCGUUUGUUUU